AAAAGUGCCUUGCGUAAUUGGUCUUCACGUUUCCGGAGUCAAGCGGAAGAAUAGGCAUCAACGUGCCUCUGUUGCGUUUCUGAAGCCAAAAAUAUAGGAGAAUGGUGUGACGUCCGUCACACCAUGUGUUACGCUCGUAACACAAGGCAGCAGGGCGUGACGCUCGUCACACCAUGUGUGGCGCUCGUCACAGGCUCAGCGCUCCUGGCUUUUGAUUGUGGGUUGGGCUUUUGUGGAUUUUGCUUCUCUUCAU
rnacentral:lncRNA from 1 species